rfam:Parasitella parasitica strain CBS 412.66 genome assembly, contig: contig_390
GUCACUUUGUCCGAGUGGUUAAGGAGUGAGACUUGAAAUCUCAUGGGCUCUGCCCGCGCAGGUUCAAACCCUGCAGGUGACG